GUGAAUCAUCGAAUCUUUGAACGCACAUUGCGCCCUUUGGUAUUCCGAAGGGCAUGCCUGUUUGAGUGUCAUAUAGAAUUCAUCUAAUUGGGUUUCCGAUCAAGAUGCUUUGGACGUCUGCCAUCUUCUCUGGCUCGUCUUAAAUGCCUAAGUGGAAUUGCGUAAUAAGUUGUCGCUCCCUCCCACUCUAAUGAAACUCUUUAAGUUGUGAUCUCAAAUCAGGUAGGACUACCCGCUGAACUUAAGCAUAUCAAUAAGCGGAGGA
rnacentral:misc_RNA from 1 species